CUAACUUUAAGGUCAAGGAGAGAGAGAAAUCUAAGCAAGUAGAUCCAUUCAAAGUCAUAUUUGCCUGGUUUCUUUUAAUCCCCAAUAUUACUGGUAAAUUUCUAUGGUGUUGAUAUCCACAUUCCUCAAAUGAAUUGCUGAAGGAGCAUCUCUCCUUCAAUAUUCACUCUAAACAAGUCAGCAAUCACUAUUCACUCUUUAGAGUUUGAAGAGCUUUCUUUUUAUGUGCUUUGAAAAGUGUUGUAUAAAAUUGGAAAUUUCCAGGGCGUUUUUUAUGUUCAAGGAAAGAUUUAAACAAUGGGGAGACAGCAGGCUUGGAAGAGUCUUUGAAAACAAAAACAACCUAUAUCCUUUAUGGACAAGGAAGUAUUAUUUGGAAAAUGCUGUGAGUGGAUGAAUCACAGAACACACAUACACCAGUCUCAUUAUCGAGGGUAAGUCCCUCUUCUCAUGCUCUAUGUCUAUAUUGCUGGCUCUUUAACAAGACUCAAGAGCUGUACUUUGCCCUGUGGAUUUCAGAGAGAACCUAACAAGCCACCCAUAUUUUGGAAGCAGUAAGCAGGGGGAUUAAUGAGUUGCUUACCUCUCCUCCUUUGAACAAGUAUUUAUUGACUCUGACAGAGGCACAGGGAAGUGGAUGAUAGAGAGUAGAGUUGCAUUCCUCAUCUGGCUUCUCUGCCUUAAUUUGUUUGUGAAAAUGAAUUACAACUGAUGGCAAAUAAGACUGUGCAGGAAAGACAGGGCACAGAAAACUAUAAUGGUUGCAGAAAGAUAGAGUAUCAACUAAAAAAAUAUAUACAGUUUUUAGCCAGAUGCUAUUUUUAUAAUCUAGGAUUUUAGGUAUGGAUAAGCUAUUUUAAUAUCAUGCAUAUGAAUAACAUUCACAAAGUUAUAUGCAGUUUACGGCCCUAAAAACAAGGUUCUCCUAACUUGCAGCACUGUAAGCUCAAUUUCAUGUACCUAGGUCUGAAAAAAAUCAGAUUGUGUUCUUUUAGUUGCAUACAUCAUCACCAAUAAAAGAGAUUUCUGGGAUUCUACCGCAAUGGCACCCUUGUUAAAGAUGCAUGAAGUCAGUGGAAUAGACCUUAUUUCUCUACUCUGGAGGCCCAGCAUUUGUCACUUAAAUAAGGCAUAGACUCAGAAGAAAAGAAAUAAAUAAUGGAUGUGUGGAGGGGUGUUUGUUUGUUUGCUUUUUACUGGAGUUUGUUUUUGCUAAGGCAUACUGUUGGCCAGACCAAAAUUAAGGUUAAGAAUGAAAUGCUGUUGGUACCCUCUCAUUCCAUGUGGUCUUUAGCUUCUCUUGUUUUAUACAGUAAAAAACAAAAACAAAAACAAAAACCCUACAUUGAAGUCUAUAGUCAGCUAAGUCUCUGUGUUGGGUCCACUCUUGUAUUAAUUUCUUAGGAUGGCCAUAACGAAGUACCACAAACUGAGUGACUUAAAAUAACUGAAAUUUAUUGUCUCAUAUUUCCGGAGGCUAGAAGUCCGAGCUCAAGGUACCAGCCAUCAGGACGAUCCUUCCCUUGAAAUCUAUAGAGGAGAAUCCUUCCUUACCUCUUCUAGCUACUGUUUGGCAGCAGGCUUUUGCAUUCCUUGCCUUGUAGAUGCAUUAUAACAAUUUCUGUCUUGUCACAGGGCUAUCUUUUCCCUAAGUAUCUCUGUAUCUGUGCUCCAUUUUUCUUACAAGUCCACCAGUCUUAUUGUACAAAAUGCCCAUUUGAUUCUAGUGUGACUUCAUCUUAACAAUUACAUCCACAAAGAUCUUAUUUCCAAAUUAGUUCACAUUCUAAAUAACUAUGGGUUAGGACUCUAAUAGAUUUUUUUGAAGGACACAGUUUAACCCAUAAAAUUCUUAAUUGUUUUCUCCUAAGCCUGAUAUAUUUUGGAUGAUAUAUUACCUGUAAGAAGGUGAGAAGCACAUUUCGGUAAAGAACAAAACUUUAAGAGUACUUGAAGUUAUGUUUGAAUUUCACCACCUCUCUCACAUUCUCAAUCUAAUUGCAGCAUUCUUCUCCCUUUGUUUUACUUUAAAAAUGUAGAAUUUUUGAAGAACAGAGUUUCCCAGGUUUAUAAUUUGUUUGAUGGAAUUUUUUAAAUAUCCUGAAGUUAAUUAUUCUGGUUUAUCAACUAACUGAUAAUGAAUCAGCAUAGUUUCUAAAACUUAUGUCUGUCAUUCAGAUUCUCUUUAGUUGGGCCUGAAACUCUGAUUAUAAUCCAAAUGCCUACUAUGUAGCAGGCUGUAGGCAAGAAGCUUUUCAUACCUCUCCCUAAAAUCCCAUUAUGUUGGCAGUAUCUACCCAUCCUACAUACAAGUAAACAAGUAAUUAUAGUUACAUGAGGCCAACCACUUGCAGGUUAAAUGCAGAAAACCUACCCUUUUGAAUUUUCCCUGAAGCCAAAUAACUGGCUUCACUAAUUUUUCCUCCUUGACUUGACUGGUUAUUUUGCAUUAUGUACAGACUGACUCAUUACAGUUUUAUGAUUGGGAUAUGCUUAUUAUAGAGAGAAAAAUUCAUCCUUAAUUUACCUUCUGGAAGAUUUGUUUCUCCACUACUUUUUUGGAAGACUGGAUUUAAAAAAUGUGCUUUUUUUUUUUUUUAAUUACAAGGUAUUUUAUUUUACUUAACUGUGGGGCACACACUCAGCAUUUGGAACCAUUAUAAUAUGACAAAGCAUUUGUUUACUCAGUGCAACCAAUACUGAAUUCAAGCUACUCAAACCUUUAAUUUUAGAAUUAAGAUGGCAGCCUGAUAUUUUUAGGACAAUAUCUCUAGACCUGGUCCAUUUACAAGAAUCUGAGAAAAUAACUGCCUUUAUUCCCACUGUAAUGUCCUCUUUCUUCAUUUCCAGCCAUGAAUUAUUACUACAUAGCAGCAAGGGAAUGUUCUGGUAGUCUCUAUCUGAAGCCAUUAAAUGAGAUUAAAACUCCCUAUCAUGGUUGACAAGAUGUUGCCUGAUCUUAACUCAAUUUUUUUAUCCUAUUACCCAACACACUCCAUACCACCACACCAGCCUCCUUGUAGUUAGUUCCUCAACAAGAACAAGUUCUUUCCCUUCCUGGAUCCUUUGUGUACACUGUUCCCAUUGCUCUUCCGUGGCUGCUCCUUCUGUUUCCAGGUCUCAGCUCGAAUUUGGAACGCUUCUUCAUGGAUCCCUUUCUUGCGUAUAGAUUCCAUCCAUGUCAUCCUCUAACCUUCUAUACUGUUUACUUCCUUAAGAGCACCUUACAUCUUUAUUAUUUAUUUGUUUACCUGUUAUUACCAGUUCCCCCUCUAGACCAUAAGUUCUGUGAAUGCAGAGAAUAUGUCUGUUUUUGUUGACCAUAGUACACCCCAUUUCUAUCUCAUUGCCUGGCACAUAUUAGGUGUUUUUCAAAUAUUUAUGGAAAAAAUAAAUAGACAUUCAGUGCUUGGUUUCCUUGUGAACCCCUGGAGUAUUUUUGAUACUAUGUGUAUUUUUGUUAAUCUGUUUACUACUAUAUGAAAGAAGUCAAAGAAAUACCAAGAUAUUGGAUGUUCUGCUUUUGCUUUUUGUUACGUGGCUAGGUGACACAGGAAUUUUAUAGUUGAUUGUUAAAGACAGUGUUUGACCAUACCCCUCCAUCAUUAUAUUCUAAGAGUAACAAAAAUCAUCCUUCUUCUGCCUGUGACUUACAUUUUACGUGGGGUAAUUGGAAACAUAAAUCAAAAAUAAACUCCAAAACACAUACUUUAAAAACGAUGUCUUGGAGUUCCCAUCAUGGCUCAGUGGAAAUAAAUCUGACUGGUAUCUAUGAGGACACAGGUUCAAUCCCUCACCUCACUUAGUGAGUUAAGGAUCCAUCUUUGCUGUGAGCUGUGGUGUAGGUUGCAGAUGAAGCUUGGAUCUGGCAUUGCUGCAGCUGUGGCUGUGGCCAACAGCUGCAGCACUGAUUCAACCCCUAGCCUAGGAAUCUCCAUAUGCCGUGGGUGUGGCC
rnacentral:lncRNA from 1 species